rnacentral:rRNA from 1 species
AUGUAUUUUUUUCAGUAUCAGCUUGUGCAGCGGCCUAAGAGGAGGAAGAGAGGAGGCAAAGCGCCCGAAGAAGGUGGACAAGGAGGAGGUGAGGCGAAACGUUUUAACAAGACAGUUCGCUGCUCACUGAAAGAGGUCAAGACGUGUGCGGAAAUGCUACAACCUAGGCAUAAGACGAGGGUAAUCAAUGCUGGUUUUGGUUGUGUGUUUGACUUGAAGGUUGAUUCCAACAUUUCUCGUCCUUUGGUGGGCAACAUCUACAUGAGGAUUGACCCUUCAACCAUGAUAUUGGACAUGGGUGAGGUGAACAAGGGCAAGCUUGGGUAUGCUAGGAGUGACGACAUCAAGACAAAGGAUUUGUGGAAUAUCCUCGCUGAACUUGUGAAGGAUGAGACGAAGGAUGAUCUUGCUCUGAAGGUGUUUUACCUUAUUGUUUUCAUGAAGAUGGUUAUCCCUGGAAUGUCUACACGAAUGUCCAGGGAGGCAACAAUGCCCGAGAAUCUUGUGUUUGAGGAUAUGGCAGACAUGGACUACUGCCAGUUGGUUGUUGACGAUAUUCAGAGUGCUUUUGUUAGUGGAAGACAUAGGCUAAGGAUUGACAGUCUUCUUGAAACUGUUUGUGGGGAGUUGGCUCAUGUUCCUUCAACUGCUGAGCGUCUUAGUCGCAUUGAUGGGAUUAUUCCUCUCGGACAUGGAUUUGAUGCUGAGUCUUCGAAGGGGGUCUUAUCUGUUGAAGCUAAAUUUCUUGAAGAGGCUGUUGAUGAUUAUGCUAGGGUUGAGGAGGAUGUUUUACCUCCGCAUGAAGCUGCUCCUAUGCAUGAGGCUGCCCCUGUGCAUGAACCUGCUCCCGCUAGUGGCGUAAUAGUUGAUGAGGUUCAUGGCAGUGAAAAUAAGCAGCAGAAUGAUGAUGUUAGUGUUCCUCCAGAGAAGGUUGCAGACAUGUCCAUCUCAGGCACUGGCUGCUCCGACGGGGUGGUCCUGACUGAACCUCGGUUCUCCAUUGGCGCUGAGGUUUCUGAUGCUGAGCAGGGCAAGACAACUAGAGACAUCAUUUUGGAGAAAGAUCAUGUUGAGUCUGCUGUUGAAACUAGUGGUAGUGCUGCUGCAAGCCCGGAGAAGUCUCCUUCAGCAGAGCCAUCAGUUGAUGUUGAUGUUGUACAGACACAACCAAAAGUUUUUAUUGUUUCAGAUUCUCUAGUUGCUCCAACUGCUGCUGGUGUCCUUCUCGACGACGCUACAACAUCUACUGGAGACGAUGAUGAAGAUACCGAAAGCGAUAGCUAUGGAGAGGAGGUUGAUCAUUCCAGUGCUGCCACUGAUAGCGACCUUCCUGUCGUCCGAAAGAAGGUUGAUGACUUUUAUUACAGUGUAACUAGGCUUAGGAAUGAUUGUUCCAAGAGAUCAAUGAUUAUGCUCAAAAACAAGGAGUGUGAAGCUUCUGUUGAAGAUGUUGCAAUAUCUUUUGGUCCUCGUGGAAUGCUUCGAUCUAAUGACAAGAUUUUCAGAGGUCAAUUUGAUUCCCGUGUGAGGAAGUACUUCAUGGCAAGUGGUCCAGAUAGCAUGGAUGCACAUGAUUCGUUUUUAAUGAUUCGUGUGUUUAUGAUUCUUCAACUUGUUUUCCCCACUUUUCAUGGGAAUAAUUUGCAAGAAGAUAUCAGGAAGACGUGGCUGUACUCAAUCGCUUCUUCUAACAUGUUUGAGACAGACUUCCAAGCUCUGUUUGGCUACUACACAUUCGAAGCAGCCGAAGCAGAAGUGAUUUCGUUCGAUGAUGAUUUUGAGAAUAUUCCUUACCCGAAGAAUGCUAAAUGUGCUGCUGGUACUGUUGCUGGUAGAGGUGGGAAGAAUGCUGUCAUCACCAGGAGGAAACCGGCAGUUGAGUCUGGGAACAUAACUUCCUCCAAGAGAGCAUCAAGAUUGCCUUUGAAGUGGCGUUCUCCUGUCGCUCCCCUGAAAAAAUACAGUUACCCUCAUCUAUCCCAGGCCCGGAAGUUGAAACAGAUAACCUACUGCAUGUUUACCAUCCCUACGAAUGUGAUUGACCUCACAAGAGGUUUUCUUGAUUCUAUUCAAGCCAAUUGGCACAAUGGCGCACUACAGUGUAUUAAGAGAUUUGUUGGGUUGCUCGAGGAGGUGUACGGCAAGGCUGCGUACAAGGCGAGCAAGCAACCUAACUGGGUGACUAUUGCAAAGAGGCCAAAUUUCAUCGAUGAUACGAAGCAGAAGAUUAAUGAUUGUGGUUUAUUUACCGUGAAGUUCAGCUCUUCGUAUGAUGGCGAUGAGAUUGUUGAAGAUUUUAGUGAUGUGGAAGUUGCUGCAGAUGACUGGAAGGCUGAGUUCAUGCAUACUCUGAUUUUUAGCGAGAAGAAUGAAGUCAUGCGUUUAGAGCUCCCUAAAGAGAUUCAAUCCUUUGGCCCGUGA